rnacentral:rRNA from 1 species
GAACGCUGGCGGCGUGCCUAAUACAUGCAAGUAGAACGCUGAAGAGAGGAGCUUGCUCUUCUUGGAUGAGUUGCGAACGGGUGAGUAACGCGUAGGUAACCUGCCUUGUAGCGGGGGAUAACUAUUGGAAACGAUAGCUAAUACCGCAUAACAAUGGAUGACACAUGUCAUUUAUUUGAAAGGGGCAAUUGUUCCACUACAAGAUGGACCUGCGUUGUAUUAGCUAGUAGGUGAGGUAAUGGCUCACCUAGGCGACGAUACAUAGCCGACCUGAGAGGGUGAUCGGCCACACUGGGACUGAGACACGGCCCAGACUCCUACGGGAGGCAGCAGUAGGGAAUCUUCGGCAAUGGGGGCAACCCUGACCGAGCAACGCCGCGUGAGUGAAGAAGGUUUUCGGAUCGUAAAGCUCUGUUGUAAGUCAAGAACGGGUGUGAGAGUGGAAAGUUCACACUGUGACGGUAGCUUACCAGAAAGGGACGGCUAACUACGUGCCAGCAGCCGCGGUAAUACGUAGGUCCCGAGCGUUGUCCGGAUUUAUUGGGCGUAAAGCGAGCGCAGGCGGUUUGAUAAGUCUGAAGUUAAAGGCUGUGGCUCAACCAUAGUUCGCUUUGGAAACUGUCAAACUUGAGUGCAGAAGGGGAGAGUGGAAUUCCAUGUGUAGCGGUGAAAUGCGUAGAUAUAUGGAGGAACACCGGUGGCGAAAGCGGCUCUCUGGUCUGUAACUGACGCUGAGGCUCGAAAGCGUGGGGAGCGAACAGGAUUAGAUACCCUGGUAGUCCACGCCGUAAACGAUGAGUGCUAGGUGUUGGAUCCUUUCCGGGAUUCAGUGCCGCAGCUAACGCAUUAAGCACUCCGCCUGGGGAGUACGACCGCAAGGUUGAAACUCAAAGGAAUUGACGGGGGCCCGCACAAGCGGUGGAGCAUGUGGUUUAAUUCGAAGCAACGCGAAGAACCUUACCAGGUCUUGACAUCCCGAUGCUAUUUCUAGAGAUAGAAAGUUACUUCGGUACAUCGGUGACAGGUGGUGCAUGGUUGUCGUCAGCUCGUGUCGUGAGAUGUUGGGUUAAGUCCCGCAACGAGCGCAACCCCUAUUGUUAGUUGCCAUCAUUCAGUUGGGCACUCUAGCGAGACUGCCGGUAAUAAACCGGAGGAAGGUGGGGAUGACGUCAAAUCAUCAUGCCCCUUAUGACCUGGGCUACACACGUGCUACAAUGGUUGGUACAACGAGUUGCGAGUCGGUGACGGCGAGCUAAUCUCUUAAAGCCAAUCUCAGUUCGGAUUGUAGGCUGCAACUCGCCUACAUGAAGUCGGAAUCGCUAGUAAUCGCGGAUCAGCACGCCGCGGUGAAUACGUUCCCGGGCCUUGUACACACCGCCCGUCACACCACGAGAGUUUGUAACACCCGAAGUCGGUGAGGUAACCUUUUGGAGCCAGCCGCCUAAGGUGGGACAGAUGAUUGGGGUG